UCACAAGCAGAUGCAGCUCUGUCACAAACUGUUCAAACGACUCGCUAGCUCCCUGUACUUUCCCAUGGAAUUUGUACCUAGCGAAAAUCGUAUUGGUAUUCGGCACAACAUAUGCUUCAAAACGAUCAUAGUAUGUUUUCAGUACCUUUGAUUCUGCCUCGAGGACCCUGAACAUGAGCUCCACAUGCUGUUUGUACUUAUGCCGUGCAUCGGGUCGCCAUGCUUCCGCGCCUCAGCUGGAUCGACAGGUUCCCGCGCCUUAGCAGAGGUGACCGGUCCGCUCCUGAUCCCCGGGAUCGUCAUCUUGGUCGGCGUUCUGCGGCUGGAACCACGCGUCGGGGAGGGGGUACUGUCACGUGUGCUCCCUCUCCGGCCUCUAGGUCACCAGUCUGCUUGUUAUGGCGCACACCUGUCACCAUCGUUACGCGCAUUAUCACACUCACCUGGACUCCAUCACCUCCUUGAUUACCUGCCUUUUAUAUGUCACCCCCUUUGAUUUCUUCCCCAGUCGUCAUUGUUCCUGUGUCAUGUUGGUGCGCUGUUCGUGUUUCUUGUUUUGUUCAUUUACAUCGUUACAACGACAGCUCUAUUCUAACCUCCAGGCAGUCAGUUCACCACUCAGCCAGCUAAUCCUCCCACUCCCUGCCUGCCAUUCUCUUCUCCCAGAAUAACGACGAGCUUCACUCCACAAAGCCUUUCUCCUAAUCAUCCCAAUGACGGGUCUGACAACUGACUGUAUGACAAUGAACAACACACACUAUGAGCAUGGAACACAGCUCAUGUCGACGUCGGAGAGGAUUGAUUCAAUGACUUCAAUUCAGCAGCACCGAACUCCCUCUGUGUGUCACUAAAUGAGAAUUUUUGUCUCAGGACUGUCUGCAAUAUCCUAUCUAGGCUCAGAAAUGGCAUAAUUCAAAUACAAGAAGAGAGGAGGAAUUUUAUUUUCUAUUGACUGGGCUUUUAUAGAUAUAGUAUAGUAAUUAUUCUGAGAGAUUGAUGGCAAGCUGGGGGAAUGUGAGGAAACAUAGAGAGUCAUGUUAUUCAGAUACAGAAAUAGGGAGAGAUAUUGUGUUGUCACCAGCAACUACAGUCAUUGAAGGAAAUAAUGAAACAGUGUGAGAGAACUUCUAUUGAAACCCAAUGAUUCAAUUAAAUAUGGUUUAAACUGAA